rnacentral:rRNA from 1 species
UACGGAGGGUGCAAGCGUUGUCCGGAAUCACUGGGCGUAAAGGGCGCGUAGGCGGCUCGGUAAGUAGGGGGUGAAAUCCUGCGGCUUAACCGCAGGGCUGCCUUCUAAACUGUCGAGCUCGAGCACGGUAGAGGCAGAUGGAAUUCCCGGUGUAGCGGUGGAAUGCGUAGAGAUCGGGAAGAACACCGGCGGCGAAGGCGGCUGCCUGGACCGGCCCUGACGCUGAGGCGCGAAAGCUAGGGGAGCAAACAGG